GAUGAACGCUGGCGGCGUGCCUAACACAUGCAAGUCGAACGGAGUCCAGCCUUAGAGACCUUCGGGUCAAAGAGGGGAAGACUGAGUGGCGGACGGGUGAGUAACACGUGGGCAACCUGGCUCAUAGAGGGGGAUAACAGAGAGAAAUUUCUGCUAAUACCGCAUAAGCACACACUGCCGCAUGGCAGAGGGUGAAAAGAGAAUCGCUAUGAGAUGGACCCGCGUCUGAUUAGCCAGUUGGCAGGGUAAGAGCCUACCAAAGCGACGAUCAGUAGCCGAUCUGAGAGGAUGAACGGCCACAUUGGGACUGAGACACGGCCCAAACUCCUACGGGAGGGCAGCAGUGGGGGAUAUUGCACAAUGGGGGGAAACCCCUGAUGCAAGCGAACGCCCGCGUGAGUGAAAGAAAG
rnacentral:rRNA from 1 species